rnacentral:tRNA from 1 species
GCCCACGUAGCUCAGUUGGUAGAGCACAUCCUUGGUAAGGAUGAGGUCACCGGUUCAAAUCCGGUCGUGGGCU